AACUCAAGGUUACCUUGACACAGAAUGUAAAUUUGAGAAUUUAUGACAAAUGAUAAAAUAGAGAUUGUCAUCUUCAUAUUGAUGGAGUGGGAGUUUCGCAGCAGCAGUGCAGUCAGUGUGUGUGCCAGAUCUGUGAGGAAUGCAGAGUCUGAACAUCCACUGUCUCCUCCUAAGAAGCUGAUGGACUGAAUGGGGAAGGAACGGAGCAACUGGAGAAACUGCAAGUCGCUUCUGGUGUGAGAUAAUUGGCCAUCUGCAAGGACGUUGCCCAGGGGAUGCCUGGAUGUUUUGAUGUUUUUACCAUCCUUGUGGAGGCUUCUCUCAUGUCCCCGCAUGGAGCUGGAGCUGAUAGAGGGAGCACAUCCGCGCUCUCCCCGGAUGGGAUUCAAAUCUGGCAGCUUUCAGAUCAGCAACCCAACCUUCAAGUCACGAGGCUUUAAUCCACUACGCCACCGAGGGCUCCUUUUCUGAAAUGAUGGGCAAUAUGAAGGGAGUUCUGCUAUGAUUGCCGAAUGAAGGAUGAAGGAGGAGGGAGUAGGAUUUCCCUGCAACUUCUUAAUUGUGGUGUGUGCACUGGGGAGGAGUGUCUUCUUCUUGAUUUUGGGUGGUCUAAUUUUGGUGAGUGUGAUUAUGUCCAAGGACUACAAAUGCCCCUUCCCUCCUCUAAUAUAUUUUCUAGUGUAAAAAUUGGAUUUAUAACUUAUUGCUAUAGUAACUAAAAUCCAUGUGUGCUAGGAGAUUUAUUGUUUUCUUAGCACUUCUAUCCCAAAAAUAUCAGUACAGGGUACAACUGAUCCAACUGAGUAAAUAAAAUCAUUUUGGUUUGUACAGAAUGUGUAAAGAAGAAGAGGAGAUGGGGAUUUUAAUGCAGUGGUAACUUGCUACUCACCUUUAUUUUUCUUGCACAUGUCCACAACCUGCUAGGGUGAGACAACAGGAAGUGAGGGGAAAUCUACCCCUAGGAAAGGAAAUUUACUUCUGUAAGAGUUAUCAUGGGAAAAAGGUGUCUCCACUGACAUUUUAUCACCAGUGCUGGUUUCCACAACAACCCAAAAUUUUCAAAAUCCAAUUGUAAUAAACAAGGACAGACAGUGAGGGGAAAUCUGAACAGGGGCACAGACAGCAAAUUAAAUGGUACAGGGGUGUUAAUCCUUUCCUAUGCUAUCCAAAACUAAAAAAAGGUUCAACUUACAUUUCAAAACGUACUUGUUCUGACUUACGUACAAUUCAACUUACAUCAAACCUAUAGAACUUUUCUCCUUUGUAACCCAAGGACUUCCUGUAAUUCAUACGAAACAUCAGUAUGUUCUUUUGUGCUAUUAUAUUCCUGUCAAUAAAAAAUUCUUGCAUGCUUUAAA